rnacentral:rRNA from 1 species
GAUGAACGCUGGCGGCGUGCCUAAUACAUGCAAGUAGAACGCUGAAGGAAGGAGCUUGCUCUUUCCGGAUGAGUUGCGAACGGGUGAGUAACGCGUAGGUAACCUGCCUGGUAGCGGGGGAUAACUAUUGGAAACGAUAGCUAAUACCGCAUAACAGUAGAUGUUGCAUGAUAUCUACUUAAAAGGUGCAAUUGCACCACUACCAGAUGGACCUGCGUUGUAUUAGCUAGUUGGUGAGGUAACGGCUCACCAAGGCGACGAUACAUAGCCGACCUGAGAGGGUGAUCGGCCACACUGGGACUGAGACACGGCCCAGACUCCUACGGGAGGCAGCAGUAGGGAAUCUUCGGCAAUAGACGGAAGUCUGACCGAGCAACGCCGCGUGAGGGAAGAAGGUUUUCGGAUAGUAAAGCUCUGUUGUAAGAGAAGAACGAGUGUGAGAGUGGAAAGUUCACACUGUGACGGUAUCUUACCAGAAAGGGACGGCUAACUACGUG